rnacentral:rRNA from 1 species
AUUGAACGCUGGCGGCAGGCCUAACACAUGCAAGUCGAACGAGUGGCGGACGGGUGAGUAAUGUCUGGGAAACUGCCUGAUGGAGGGGGAUAACUACUGGAAACGGUAGCUAAUACCGCAUACCAUCAGAUGUGCCCAGAUGGGAUUAGCUAGUUGGUGGGGUAACGGCUCACCAAGGCGACGAUCUCUAGCUGGUCUGAGAGGGUGACCAGCCACGCAGGGUCUGAGACACGGUCCAGUCUGCUACGGGAGGCAGCAGUGGAAAAUGUUGCACAAUGGGCGCAAGCCUGAUGCAGCCAUGCGGCGUGUAUAAAGAGGGCCUUCGGGUUGUAAAGUACUUUCAGCGGGGAGGCGUUACCCGCAGAAGAAGCACCGGCUAACUCCGUGCCAGCAGCCGCGGUAAUAC